rnacentral:rRNA from 1 species
GACAGAGGAUGCAAGCGUUAUCCGGAAUGAUUGGGCGUAAAGCGUCUGUAGGUGGCUUUUCAAGUCCGCCGUCAAAUCCCAGGGCUCAACCCUGGACAGGCGGUGGAAACUACCAAGCUGGAGUACGGUAGGGGCAGAGGGAAUUUCCGGUGGAGCGGUGAAAUGCAUUGAGAUCGGAAAGAACACCAACGGCGAAGCGCUACUCUGGCCGGCCACUGACACUGAGAGACGAAAGCUAGGGGAGCAAAUGGG